rnacentral:lncRNA from 1 species
CUUUUAUAAUUAGAAAAAAAUGUAGAUAAAUAUUGUUUGGAUUUCAUAGUGCCAUCUUGGUAACUUUUCAAAUAUUUAUACUAUUCUUACAUUUUUUUUCAAUGCUAAUGCAGAUUAUGGUUCCACCUUUCUAUUAGAUAUAUUGGAUCUGCUCUGUGAGAAGUCCUAUUGUACUGAGAAUUUACUUGAGGUAGGAAAUUACCCUAGGUUUUAAGUUAAAUUUUAGAUUUUAAAGGACUUGCCUACAUUUUUUUUUAAGAUUUCCCUAAUAAAAUGAGUAGCAUAGCAUGCCCACUUGGCAAAAUUUUGGGACGGCUGUUGGCAGGUCAGGGCGUCUGGGUGUGGGUGAGGCAAGGGCCACCUCUCUGUGCUGCUUCUGCCCAUCUACCCAUCUCCUUUAUUUGUUGUGCACCUGUGUUCACACAGCAGGAGGUAUGAUUAUCUCUUUCCUUAAUCCGAAGUGUGGAGGGGUUGUGCAAACGGUUUUAGGUGGUAUGCAGCUAGAACAAUUUUUUUUUAAGUUGCUAAACUAUUUCAGUGCCCUGUGACUUUACAGAUACUCCUCCAAAUAGACAAAACAUUAAGUCUAUUAAAGAUGCAGUAAGUAAAUAAUAAUGAUGCAAAUGACACAGAUAUGGCAAAACCAGCAUUUGUGAGCAGAAGGCUGAAAUUUGGAAAGCACUGCCACGUGAUACAGUGCUUGGGUUUUGUGUUCGAAAUGUAGUGUUUUAUAUUUGUGUAUUCACUGCUUUUAAAUAAUGUUGGGGGAUCCCUGGGUGGCUCAGCGGUUUAGUGCCUGCCUUUGGGCCAGGGCAUGAGCCUGGAGACCCGGGAUCGGGUCCCGCGUCAGGCUCCCUGUAUGGGGCCUGCUUCUCCCUCUGCCUGUGUCUCUGCCUCUUUCUGUGUCUCUCCUGAAUAAAUUAAAUAAAUAAAUAAAUAAAUAAAUAAAUAAAGUUCACAGUAUUUCCUGUAUAUGUACCUUUUCUGUUUUAUUUAAGAAAUUAGCCAACUUCCCUCAGCUUAGGUAUGUUUUCAUCCUUCUUUUUCUUAUUUGGUUUCAAUAUUAUUGCAAUAUGACACAGUGAGAUUUUGUUGAAUUUAUUAAAUGCAUUGUUACUUCCUAGAUUCAAUUAUAAUCACCCUCUUCUAAUUACUGCAAUCUUGAAAAAGAAAAAAUUCUUCUUCAACAGCAUAUGUGGGGUCCCAUAAACUCCCCAUGGUAGGUGGGGAUUACGGUUUGGCGAGCCUGACAGACCAGGGGAGGUUUGGACAGCCUGCAGGCCACAUCCGACACUCCUGAUGGCUUCACGGCAAUGGGCGUGACUGAUGUGGGCAGCGAGUCUGGGAGUUCCUGCCGAGCUGGCACCCAUUUCAUUACCUGUUUCAGAGAGACUCCUUGUCUGAGGACAGAGGAGGUGUGACCCUGCACAUGGGGGUCUGUGGAGCUCCGGUGAACACAAAAGGAGGAAAUGAGGGGCAGGACAGGUCUUCAGGGGGAAAGCCAGGUUAAGUCAGGUAUGCUAUGUUCGAAAUACCUACUGGGGAUACAGAUCAGAGACGUGAUACCCAAACUCUAAUGAACACUUUCUAGAGUAUUCUCAUUGCAGAAGUCUAGUGGAUGAAUUCCAGAACAUACAGGUCUCAGCUCUCAUUUCUUCAUGGUGUUUAUAGGAUCCUCUCUCUCUCUCUUUAAUCUAAAACCUUGACAAGUAGGUGCCUGGAAUUGGAAAGAGGGGUGGAGCCUUUCUUUUAAAAUUGCUUUUGGGCAAGUCUCGCUGCCUGUAUAGUAUCAAUGCCAAGAUUCACUUUCGGUCAGGAAAGUUUCUGGAAUUCACUUUUGAAUUAUUCAUUUCCACAUUGCUGUAAGGGCUUGAAAGUUAUAUGUGGGUUGCAACGUGGCCCUGCUUGCAUAUGGUGUGAUCUUGUGCAAGCACCGAAUCUGUCCAUGUGCAAGCCUCAGUGUCCAUGUUUGUGCACUUGAUACAGGACACCUGCCUCCCUGGGUUGGGGAGAUUAAAUGAGAUAAUGUUUGCAUAUGCACCAGAGUGAGGUUAUUACUUCCAGGACCAUCUUUGGUACCACUGCUGCCACCAACCACCACCUACUCGACAGCAAGGGGACCUCUGGCUUCUUUCCCCAGGUCUUCUGGCUCCUUUGGUGUUAUCAUUGUUAUGUGCUUCCACCUUGUUUUUGGACAGUGACCCACAUGACAUCUACUAUGAUCACAAGCUUAGUAUUUGAAUACCAGUAACCCGUCCUGCCUUCACUGGCAUUUACAUUUCUUUUUCUUUUUAAAACAGUUCGUGUAAACCCAAAUGCACUGGAGUAAGAGUUUUCAGGGAGGGUCCCAGCCCAGGGACCCUCUUCCUCACCCUUCCCCACCUCCCCAUGGAGCAGUUAUUGGUAACUGGACCAGAGAUGGUAUUUUUCUCUAAAUUUCCUCUUAAUUUUUAGAGAGUUCCUCACUGGACUUUGUUGGCUGUCCUUUAUUUGGGGUAUUACUCUCACUUUGAGUAUUCAGCCCAAGGAAAGCUAUACUUCUGGCCAUCUUCCUGAAAGUCUGUCUUUCCUAAAUGCUACAAAAGUGACACACUCCAGUAGGGUACUGAUUAUUAAGGACUGACAGAUCCUCUGUCUUUAGUAGUAUGCGUAUUUGGAAGAAAGUGAGUCCAAAGUUGCAAUGUCUGUCCUUCAGCCAGAGAGGCAGAUACCAGGGACUAUUGUUUGGAAAUUUAUGAGGACUUUGUUGUAGCGUGCAAAUCCCCUGGCCACCAAAGGCAACCUCAUAAGGAAAGUAUGCACUGAAACAAUGGAGGUGUUGGAAAUGGUUUGCAUUACAUCCAGGAAUGAUAUUAAUAGACCAAAAAUAUUAAUUCCCCGGCUGAAGUUUAUCAGUGGGAUGUGGUGAUGGUCUGGCUCCAUCAGCACCGUGUACUUUGGCAAGUUGAGAUCUUUUUCUGUCUCCUCAUCUGUGCAGAGAGGAAGUACACAGGUAAGUCACCCAUCCUGCUCUGAAGACAGGAAUGGGAGAUAACUGUGUGCAGAGCCCUGUGCCCUGGUGGGGACCCCAGGUCAUUACUGGUUUGUGCAGAAAUAUACUGUGUGGUGGAGGAGGUAAUGCACACAGGAAGUGAUGCCAGAGUAACUGCAGUCAACACACACACAAGCAGAAGCUACAUACAAAGUGCAGCCAACAUCCUAUUGGGAGUUUCCUGGUAUAAAAUGCUCGUUACAGGAAAUUUGGAAAAUAAAAAACAAACGGAAAAAAAAGAAGAAAUCACUUAGAGUCCCAUCACCCAGAGAAGACCAUGGUGAACAUUUUUGCCCUAUUUUCUUUGAGGCCUUUUAUAUUGUAGCACAAGAAAAAAAAAACUAUUAUCAUAUGUUAUGUGUAUGAUCUUAUUUGCUGGAACAGAAUACACAGAACACUUUACUGUAACUCAAUGGAUAGAUGAGUGCAUGUUGUUAGCUCUUGAUAAGUAUCAUGUUUAUUGUUUUAGGAUCAUCUGGCAUGAGGAUUUACCACAGCCCACCUAGUAAUCUCCCUCUUGGACAUUUGGUUGUUUAUAUUUUUCACUAUUACAAAUAAUGCUAUCCAAAAUGCAUAUUUUGGUGUAUCAUGAUUUUUUCCAUUUUUAAAAUUUUUUCCUUUUGAAUUCCUCUCCUGGACAAAUGCUGGAACAUUUGUACUCUGUUGGAGAGUCAUGGGAAGGACUUUGUCCUCUACUCUGAGAACUCUGCAAACAGUGCUAAGUAGCACAUAGCUUGAUGUUUAAGAGGGGUCUACUGGGAGGGUUGUUUUUUCCUGUAGUUAUGGAGCAACUACUACUUAUACCCAAAGUGUUAAGAAAGAAGGGGUCUGAAUCUUCAGUGGGCAUAGGGUCCCCUCCAGGAAGUUCUGGCCCUGUGGUGGCGAAGCAGGUACUCCAUUCCAGAAGAGCCUCUCCAGAUGCCUAGCCCCUGCCUGCCUGGCCAGACAAAACUGGCAUGCUGGGGAGGUGAGGGUGGUGGUGCGUGACCCAAAGUCCCAGGGCAGGAAGGUCUUGAAGCAGAUUCACUCUGCUACAAGGGAAUGACACAGAAUAGCCCUGAAUACCUGCCGGAGUUUAUCUCCAUCCCUAUGCAUUUUCUGCUGCAUAGAAAACAUGACUCUCCAGAGGCGUGACCAUAUUCCUCCUCUUUUUCCUGGACGAUUGGCUCUAAUUUUCGAUUAUUCAUUGCUUCCAGGUUGGAUAGCUAGUAUGUUUGUUUCCUGAACUGACCCGACAGGCUCCAGGGAGCAGGAUGAGAGAGGGGGGUUCUUGGGGCUGCAGAGGAGGAUGGGCGGGUGAAGGGCGGUGGCGGCAUCGCACAUGGAGCUGGGCAAGACCUUUCUGCUCCCCUCAGAUCUGAGAUCCUGUGAUCUUCAGGGCUGGCUUCCAGCUGGCGGAGCCCCUGGUGCAACUCAGCCUGUGGUCCCUAAUCUUGGAGAGCGUCUUUCAUCUUCCUCCAGCCUGUGGGUGGUUGUGAUGAAGCUGAGUUUCACCAUCUCAAAGCCUGAGGUCCAAUUAGUGAUAAUAUAUUCUUUUCCAGGCCUCUAAAGUUUGGAGUGAGAACCCAAGCCCCCUCCCCCACCCUGAGGCCACAACCUUCAGUUUGUUGACAAUUCAGAGCAUCUAAAUUCCUGCUUCUCUGUGAAGAAAAAUGAAAUCUCAGCAAUAAGAGUCCAGUCCUGACUGCAGGAGAGAACUCUGCACACUGUGCUGUUUAACUGUGGGGGUGCCCCGGUGCUGCUGCCACCUGCCAGCCCUCCACCUGUGGUUCCACCCUCCUACUGAGGAGACUAUCACCAGAUCUGACGACCAUCUUGGUGGCACCUGCUGCUGGCAGGGCUUUAGGAUCAUUGUCCAGAAAAAUCUCAAACCUCGGGUUCCUGCAUUUCAUUCUUUCCUCAGUGUCUGUCAGUAACUCUCUGUUCAGUGGGGCUUUAGUACAGGCACCCUAGGGCUGCAGACAUGGUCACUGGCCAGAUGGAGCAGACACUAUCGAUCUAGGAGUGGCCAAGAAAUUGGGGCCCUCACCCUGACGCGAGCUCCCUCCCCACAGAAGAGAGGACUCGUCUACAUUUAGCCAAACAGCUAUGGGGCAGCAUAUCUUUCCAGGGAGGAAAUGAUAUGGGGUCCAGAUGGGGCCACGGUGCCUCCUGAGGACUGCAGUAUGGAGCAGGGCAGCUUGGGUGAGUCUCAUAGCACACUGAGGGAGAGAAUCCAGAUGCAAAGAGUGCAAACCGCGUGAAUCCAUCUCCACAAAGUUCAAACAGGCCACACUUUUCAUCGAUAGAGCCGUGAGCACCUGGCUGCCUCUGGUGGAGGUGGGGUCACUGGGAAGGGGAAUGAGGGGACCUCUUGGCAGUUUGGAGAGUUCCUGUCUCUUUUUUUUUUUUUAAUUUUUAUGUAUUUAUGAUAGUCACACAGAGAGAGAGAGAGAGA